UUAAGGCCUAGGAGUGAUUCCAGCAGAACCACAGAAGCAAGGUGACAACUGAGAGACAGUGUUACCUAACAUUCAUUGAACUUCCAAAACAACAGGAGUGAUAAUAAUAGCGACAGUUCACUGAGUACACAGCAGGUGCCAGGUGCUGUGCUGGCAUCUCACACGUUAUCUCUAACACACCCACAACCUGCAGACGAGAACUCAGGCUCGCUCGGUGAGGGUCUCGGUUGCCAAGAGUCCUACAGCAGGAAAGGAGGAAGGGAU
rnacentral:lncRNA from 1 species